rnacentral:rRNA from 1 species
ACAUGCUUACAACAUAGCGUUACUGCACUGAAUCCCAUUGGAACUCUGCAGUUAAGCGUGCUCGGGCUAGAGUAGUACUGGGAUGUGUGAGCUCCCGAGAAGUCAUAAAGUUUUACAUGCC